AGAGUUUGAUCCUGGCUCAGAACGAACGCUGGCGGCAGGCCUAACACAUGCAAGUCGAACGCGACUUCGGUCGAGUGGCGCACGGGUGAGUAACGCGUGGGAACCUGCCCUGUGGUACGGAAUAACAUCGGGAAACUGAUGCUAAUACCGUAUAUCUCCCGAGGGAGAAAGAUUUAUCGCCAUAGGACGGGCCCGCGUAG
rnacentral:rRNA from 1 species